UGAUGGAGAAGUGUGAAGGGCGCGCGACGGGACAGUCAGUGGCGUGUGUGUGUUGUGGAUGUGUGUAUACAGUGCGCGCGGUGAGGUGUUGGAUAUGGAUGCGUGUGUUUGAAGUGUUGGAGAUGUGUGAACAGUGUGUGUGUGUGUGUGUGUGUGUGUGUGUGUGUGUGUGUGUGUGUGUGUGUGUGUGUGUGUGUGUGUACGCUCUGAUGUCUCCAGCAUAUUGUGGAUGUAGGGGCUGGAGUCAUGGAUGUGAAGUGAAGCUGUCAGAUCUGGACUGUGAUUCAUGGCCUGUACUGCUGGCCUGCUGGGUGGCUCUUUAGAGGCUGGAGAAUGGGACCCAUGAGGGGCCGGGGUGUACUCUGAGUCAGGACUGAACCAAGAGUGACGUUCUGGAAGAUUGGGAAAGCUCGAUAGUGGAGAUUUCUGAGGAGGCUGGUUGCUAGGAACCUGGGUGUUCUGGUUGAUGACCAGCUUCUCUUCACGCACCAUGUGGCCUCAGUUGCUCGAUCCUGCCGCUUUGCGCUUUACAACAUCGGAAAAAUUCGACCGUUUUUGACACAACAGGCCACCCAACUCCUGGUACAAGCAGUCGUCAUCUCACGCCUCGACUACUGCAAUGCCCUGCUAACUGGCCUCGCGGCCUGUGUAGUAAAACCACUACAGAUGAUUCAGAAUGCAGCAGCACGUCUGGUCUUCAACCAGC